rnacentral:rRNA from 1 species
CCUACGGGUGGCAGCAGUGAGGAAUAUUGGUCAAUGGCCGAAAGGCUGAACCAGCCAAGUCGCGUGAGGGAAGACGGCCCUACGGGUUGUAAACCUCGUUUGUCGGGGAGCAAAGCGAGUCACGUGUGACGCAGUGAGAGUACCCGAAGAAAAAGCAUCGGCUAACUCCGUGCCAGCAGCCGCGGUAAUACGGAGGAGGCGAGCGUUAUCCGGAUUGAUUGGGGUAAAGGGGUGCGCAGGGGGAGGUGCAAGUCAGCGGUAAAAUCGCGGGGCUCAACCCCGUACUGCCGUUGAAACUGCAUCACUUGAGUGCGCGAGAGGUAUGCGGAAUGCGUGGUGUAGCGGUGAAAUGCAUAGAUAUCACGCAGAACUCCGAUUGCGAAGGCAGCAUACCGGCGCGCAACUGACGCUCAUGCACGAAAGCGUGGGUAUCGAACAGGAUUAGAUACCCUUGUAGUC